rnacentral:lncRNA from 1 species
CCGCCCCACAGUUACCUGGCAACAUCCAGGUGCCGGACUCUCGUGCACUUGUUCUGAACCUGUCUGGGCGUGGCCUUGGAAGUAGUCUGUGAGCUGUAUCAUGAGACCAUCACCUCAUGUUUGAAAUCAGGGUCACCUCUGUCCUGAUUACAGGGCCACCGCAGUGCACUGGGUCAUCAAACCUCUUGCUUAUUGUAUUGUUAUCCAUCUCCAUGUUUUCAUGAGUGGGACCUCCUGGACGUAGGGCUGAUUGGGUCCUACAGUCACUCAAGUUUGAGUUCUAAGACACUUUAUUGUUUGGAUGCUGGGGACAUUGAAGGCACCAAGGAGAUGGAAGUCAUCAACUGGGCAAAUGCUGAAGACACACGUGGAGGAGCAUGCACCCCUGAAGGUUACAGAGAACUUCAACAAGAGCCAUUUUGAUGCAUCAAUGUGGGCAAAGGCAAAAGGUUCAAGAGAGAACAAGAGAAAACUAGAGACCACAAGUGGAUAUAUGUGGAUCCUCCCAGGAGACCUACUAGGGAAAUGUGUUCCUCACAGAAGUUCUCUGUCAUGUCACGAUGCAGCCAAACUUGCCCUCUCAAGAAGCCAGAUGGGUGGAGCCAUCAGAUCCUGAACCUCUGGCUUCAAACUGGGCAAGAAAUGAGUGGAUAUUCAGAAGUGGACCAGCGUGGCUACAUCUGCAACUGUGACUGACCAAAGCCAUACAACACAGAACCAUGAGUGAUGGAGGCAGUGGCCGGUGCAGUAUGGUGGGAUGUGUGGCCAGCAGGGAUGAGGGGUAGGGAGUCCCAUUGCUGAGAUCUUUUCUCCCGUUUUCCCAUCCUUUGCCUAAGAAUUGGCUGACAAGUGUAUCAGCAAACGGAAAAGACUUAGCUCAGUGUUGUUAGCAGAAAAUACUAGUAACUUAACACUGCGAGAAUACCAUGCAAAGUGAGUUGGUAACACGGCUGCCGAAAAACCAACAUGGCGGAUCUUUACAUAAAUAUGUGUACACCUACAAAUGGAGGGGAUGCUAAGUAUAAAUAUUUUUCUUUUUAUAAAUAUGAUAGCGAUAUAAUUUUGUUAAUUAGAAAUUUCGUCGCAUUUAUUUGCCAUGGCAUAGAUUUGGAGGUCAGAGGACAACUUGUGGGAGUGGCUUCUCUUCCACAGUGUGGGACCUGGGGAUGAACUCAGGACAUCAGGCUUGACAGUGCCUUCACCUACUGAGCCAUCUUGGGGGCUCCUUGAUGUAUAAUCAGAAAUAAGAGGCGAUUACAGGAUGACUUAGGAGGCUGUGGUGGUUGAUAUGGAUUUUCAACUUGACAGGGUCUAGAAUCACCAAGAUUCAAAGUCUGGACGUCUGGGAAGGAGUUUCCACAUUAGGUUAACUGAGGCAGGAUCACCACCGUUGCUUGUACUGGGGUCCCCAGCUGCAAAAAGAAAAAAGAGAACGCCGAGGAUGAGAAUUCACUUUGCUCUGCUUCAUUGUGACCAUCCGCUUCGUCUCUAGCCACGAUGCUUUCUCCUCCACUGCCCUCUGACCAGAGACCCCGCUAGACCCUUCCUCCACCACACCCUCCGGGAACCCACUCCACUCUUCCUCCACUGCACCCUCUGACCCAGGACCGGACUAGACUUUGUCCACCACGCUCUCUGGCCGGGGACCCGACAGGACCCUUCCUCCCUCCGAUUGCAUUUGUCAGGCCUUUUGUCAGAGCCACAAGAAGACUGAUAGAUUCCAGCUACAUGGAGCACUAGGGCUCAUGAUAGGAGUCAUGCUUUCCUGGAGAAUGCCCUCCAAUCUCCUCCACCCACCUAUCCCUUUGUUCCUCACAAUGUUGUCGUCACUGUGACAAGGACAGGCUCCUCAGGUCCAGGAGGAAGUGGGUGUAAGAAACCUGGUGUCCCAUUGUCUCCGUGUACAGACAUCUUAGUGGAAGUGACGCCUGAAGUAGGUGUCUUAUCCUUGGGAGAAAGAAAAGUCUUGUGGAGUGGCUGUGAAAAGAGGUCUUUUGAAAGGAGAAUUUUUUUUCCCAUCUACCAUGGGCCUCUAUUUAACAGGAAAAAUAGCAGACAAGAUUCACACUCGUCUUGUAACAUUCGUUGUUGCGAGUGGAUGGGUGCGUUUGGGAACAUUUGGGAAAUUGAGAUGAGGCCCACAUAUUUGCCUAUCAUCUGUAGACAAUUCCUGCUUAAAAGAGGUGAGCAUUUUAUCUCUCUGCCAGCAUUUGGCAUUUUUUGGUAGAAGCGUUCAAUGUGGCACCUGCCCUGCUUUGAUUAACAGAGAUAUAAUCCAAAGGAAGCAGAAUCUCUCUCUGCUCAGUCUCACCCUGUACCUAAGGCCAGAGCCUUCCUUCAGGGGCAGCGCACUCUCUCCUGGAAUGAGGUACCUAGAAGCAAGCAGACCCCAAACACUGAUAAGGUUGUCAUGGAGAGUUACAUUCCAAUCUCAGCCUCUGCUAAGAUGGGUGGAUUCCAAGUGUAGCAGGCCUCAUGAAUUUCUGCAUACACUCUUUCCUUGGAGACGUCCUGAAAGAUGAGAUAAACGGCUGAGAAGCUGUGUGUGUAUAGGCUCUGUUGGGUUUCACUGAGAACAUGAGAGGUCUCCCCUCUCCUCCCUGCCCAAUGUUUAUAGGGACAGGUUCUCAUAUAACUAGAGCUGUAGCACAAAAGUUUUCAAAACGUACUCUUAAUAACAGUUCUUAAACACUUUAACCUCCCUUCUAGCCCACCACCCAUCAGAGGCAGUGGGAAAGAAAUGUUAAUAUGAUAUGGGGGAAUCGGACCUGUUUCGAAAGGUUCUUUGGAGUAAAUCCCAUCUGUGUUGUCAGGGAAUCAGCAGUUCAGUUCACAGGAGUCAGCAGCGGCAGCUCGAUCCACUCGCAAACACCUCACGGAUACACCAGCAGUCCAGUUCGGUAGAGACGGCAGUGGCAUGACCUAGUAGGGACAGCCAGGCCUCGGGCAAAUCGGCAGGAGCCAGCGGGAGGAAUUAGGACCACCGGGAUACCAGAGAAGUUCUUGGCUGUGCCUUUCUCAGGGACACGAAGAGACCGAGGAGACAAGAAGAGUUGUAAAGCUAGCUCUUUAGGAAAGCAAACCCUUCUUAUAGUCUGUUGAGUCCUACUUAUACCCCCUCCAAACAUCACGUGUCCUCCAUGGGUCUUGCCUCAGCAUAUGAGUCUGUCUUAGCAUCUGUCUCAGAUGACAACAUUCUGCCAUGAGUCUGAGGAAGUGUCAAGAAGCCGCCAGCACACCACCAGUUUUUUGGUGCGUUUCCCUCUGUGGAGUCACGACAAAUGGAGCUCAACAACGCAUGUAAGGUGAACCAAUAUAAGUGUGUCAUUAGCGAAGAACGCUUCAUCAAGUGUCCUUUUAUGUGUUCGCCUUAGCAAACCAUCCUUUUACCUGGGUCCGCUUCAGCGAAACAUUCCUUCAUGUGUUUGCCCCUGCAAAACAUCAUCCACUCAGCUGACACAACUGACUUUCCAAAGAACCCUUAAGUUUUCAUUUCAUUAGGCUGCUUUUGAACUUGUUUUGUAGCUGAGAGUCACCUUGAAAUUCUGAUCCUCCUGCCUCUAUUGCCUGAGUGCUGGGAUUAUGGGCAUACACCACCACACCCAGUUUUGGGUAGUGCUGGGGGCUGAACCUAGAGUUCGGCACGUUUGGCAGACACUCUACCAACUGAGCCAGCAAUUUCUUACGUUUGCUUCAGUAGGGAAAGACAGCGACAACAUGAGAGGCUAUGCUUGACCCUGGGAAUGAACUCUGCUCAGCUGUAGCAGUUCCCCCUUCUCUGCUCUGCCUUCAAUCUACCGUGUCAUUAUUAGAUUUUUUAAUAUUUGCUGUCUUCUCCCAUGGCUGGCCUCAGUUUGUGAUUCUCCUGCCUCAGCCUCCCGAAUGCUAGGACCAGAGGUGUGUGCCAUUCUACCUAGCUAAUACAUCAUAGAAACUGCACAAAGCACCAUAGAAAUAAUAUUUUGCCAUUUAUUUUCAUUUUUUGUUUCUGGGGCAUUGUUUCUCUUUGUAGUCCUGGCUGCCUUAGUUCUCACUGUGUAAAUCAGGCUGGCUUUGAACACGGGAAGAUGCACUUGCCGCUGCCUCCCGAGGGCGAGUAUUAAAGGUGUGUACAUCGUG